CCAGACUCCUACGGGAGGCAGCAGUGGGGAAUAUUGCACAAUGGGGGAAACCCUGAUGCAGCGACGCCGCGUGAGUGGAGAAGUAAUUCGUUAUGUAAAGCCCUAUCAGCAGGGAAGAAGAAAUGACGGUACCUGAGUAAGAAGCACCGGCUAAAUACGUGCCAGCAGCCGCGGUAAUACGUAUGGUGCAAGCGUUAUCCGGAUUUACUGGGUGUAAAGGGAGCGUAGACGGCAGCGCAAGUCUGGAGUGAAAUGCCGGGGCCCAACCCCGGAACUGCUUUGGAAACUGUGCAGCUCGAGUGCAGGAGAGGUAAGCGGAAUUCCUAGUGUAGCGGUGAAAUGCGUAGAUAUUAGGAAGAACACCAGUGGCGAAGGCGGCUUGCUGGACAGUAACUGACGUUGAGGCUCGAAAGCGUGGGGAGCAAACAGGAUUAGAUACCCGCGUAAG
rnacentral:rRNA from 1 species